UCUGCCCGUCGGGGUCGGGGUCGGGCGCCAAGGUCGGCGCAGGCGGCGCCCUGGAUGGGGGAGGCCGAGCCCAGCGAGCUGCGCGGGGCGUUCCGCGUGGAUCCGAGGGAGGAGGCGCCGCGGGCCCGCGAGCCGGAGAGGUGGCGUCGGAGGCGCGGGACUGCGGGGAGCGCGGGUUUGACCCAGAGCCGCGAGGGACGACAGGGAGUGAGCGGAGGGCGGGGGCCGAGAGGAGCUGUAGGGGCCUUGGGGCAGGGGCCCGGGGCUUCCCAGGGCGGCUCCGAAACGGGCAGUCGAGGCAGGCGAGGGCUCGGCUGCUCCUGCGGGCGUCUGUGCAGAUGCUGAGGCUGUUGACCAAAACAGCGCAAGGAAAGAAUCCGCGAGAAGCUCAGAUUCGCGGGGGAGGCCCUGCCGCCGGGAGGGGAAGGAGAGGCGCAGCGGGGCUGUAGCGUGGCUCUAGCUGUGCAUCUGUGGAGCUGGCAGAGUUCUGCAGCCCAGGAGGGAGGCUGCUGGAGGUGCCCGUCAGUUACUUUGAAAUGUGGUGGAAAUGGUGAUGGAUGGGAUUUAUUCAGUCCACAUCGGUUCAGAGGCCAGCAAGGUGCUGCUGGGUGUGACUGGUGCUGGGCCAGGCAUGAUUUUGGCGUUGAGGGAGUUGAUGCCCCAGCAGGAGAGACAGGCACCAGAUGCACAACUGUUUAAUCACAGUUGGGACAAGGGCUAAGGCACGGGUUCCAGGAACCUGUAGGAUGCGGGUGUGGGAGUGGUGUCAGAUGCUGAGGGUGUGAGUUGAACUGUGGAGAAUUUCUCUGGAAAUUAGUCAGAGAAAAAGUGAGGUGCCGGGGCAGCCAGCCGUGUGCGGCUCCGCAGAAGAAACAGAAUGCACAGACCCUUAGUGGCAGGCGAUGGUGACGUAUAGGAGCUGAAAGAUUGUCCUGGCUAAGGCACAGAGAGCCACCGGAGAAGGGACACGGUAACGUGUAGAGGGGAGUGGAGGGUGAGGACAAGCUUCAGGAUGGGAGAAGAGCCACAAAGGAGACUGAGAAGGGCCGGUAGCAGAAACCAGGAGACUAGAAUGUGUCGAAACCAAGAGGGUGGAGUUUAAAGGAAGAGGGAGCCAUCAGCAGUGCUGAACAAAAGAGCAGCUGAAAAGAUCCCACUGACGGCAGCAGCCGAGCUUUUGUGACCCUUAGGGGACACUGCGGAGGCCGGGCUGGAGCGAGGUAGCCUGAGUUAGGAUGCACACCUGGGCAGGUAGAGCUAGCUCGCUUCAGCUUUUAGGAGGACAGGGGCAGAGUGGACAGGAACUUAGUUUGGGGAAAACUUGAACAUGUUCAGGAUGCUGGAGAGGAGCGUUCCGCUGCUGCCGAGGUUGGAGAUCCAAGAGCAGGGAUGAAUUUAAUUCCCCCUCCCUGUAGCGUGCUGUAUACCGAAACAGAGUCAAAGUGAUCCAUAAGCUUAUGUAGUUUAUUUGAUCAACAUGAUUGUCCUGCCAGACCCGUGUAAGUUGACCCUAAGGACAUUUUAAGAGUAAUUUAUUUCCAUUUUACAUAUGGGUAUCCUUGGUGCCAGAUUAUAUGAGUCGUUUUUCGCAAGGUCACAAUUAAAGUGUUUGAGACUUUUUUAUAGUUUAGAGAUUUUAUUUGCUGUUUCCACUGGAUUGUCCAGAUUUUUAUUUCAAGAAUUAUGUACAUUUUAACAAUAAAAUAAUGAAACCUAGAAAAUGCCUCCCCCCUGCCCCACGUACACACUUUAAAAGCUGGCCUUAAUAAUUUAAUUUGCAUGACGUGGUAAACCUCAGUGAAGGCUGUGAGCUUGAAGGACGGCCCUAGUUCCAGUGUAUCCACCUUGAUUAGAUUGACCUGGGUUCGUCCUGUCUGGGUGCACUCAAAGCUUCUUGCCAACGUCUGGGCCUUUGUUAAUUUGACCUGGGUUCACUCCUGUCUGGCUGCACUCAAAGCUUCUUGCCAACGUCUGGGCCUUUGUUAAUUUGACCUAGGUGUAGUCCUGCCUAGAGGGACUCGGGGCUUCUUUCUCUCCCCUGUAGUUUUUUAGUUGAUGAGCCUUUUGUUUCCUAAGAAGUUUUAUGCCAGUUCCCUUUUUCACAAGAGGUAACUUGGGUCUCUUAGUCACUUUUGGACAUGAAGCACCUAGUCUUUAGACUUAGGUAUCGAUCAUUGCUUUAAUCACUGUUAUUUUAUGGAGAAACCUGUAAGGGGUGACAUCAAAUGACUGCAGCUUUGUUGACUGGCCAGAGGCCUGUUAAUGGACUCAGCCUAGACUCCAGAACGUCUCUUGCUCAUUCAGAACCAGUGCCUUGGCACCACCGUGUGGUUCAGGGUUUGCUGGAGUAUCUUGUGACAUCAGACAAUUUGAGUAGAUUGCAGGGGGAUCUUUGUGUUUCUCGAUACCAACUUCUGUCCACUCUGUAGCUAACAGUAGUGAUUCAAAGCCACUUUGAAUGGCCUGGAUCCAUGUGCUCCUGCAUCUGUUCUUCUAGAGCUCCAAGAAAUUAGGCUGCUGGUGUAACGGUGUUGUCACAUAUUAGGGGAGGCUUCAAGGGGUUAUCAGCAGGAGCUCAAGAUCAGACACCAUCAUAUCUUCCAGAUUUCCACAUACCAGAUUUCCUGGUGGUGGAGUCAUCAGUUGUAUAAUGCUGGUUAAAUAAUUCAGUCGCUGAAGAGUACAUUCUGCUGAUUAGUCUUGGAAGGUCUGAGGGUACAAUGUUGAAUUUUUUUAGGUGAAAUUCACAUAACAUAAAAUUAACAAUUUUAAAGUACAAUUCAGUGGUGUUUAGUACGUUCACGAAUUUGUGGAACCACCACCUCUAUCUAGUCCUAAAACACUUUUGUCACCCCGAACUCUGUACCCAUUAGCAGUCACUCCUAACUCCUCCCUUGCCCCAGCCCCUGGCUACCACUCACCUUUCUCUCUAUAUAGAUGUGCCCAUUCUGGAUAUUUCAUAUAAGUGGAAUCGUACACUGUGUGGCUGGACUCGUGCACUGUGCGGCUGGACUCGUGCACUGUGGCUGGACUCGUGCACUGUGGCUGGAGUCGUACACUGUGGCUGGAGUCGUACGCUGUGUGGCUGGAGUCGUAGACUGUGGCUGGAGUCGUACGCUGUGGCUGGAGUGCGCUGUGUGGCUGGAAACGUACACUGUGGCUGGAAACGUACGCUGUGGCUGGAGUCGUGCGCUGUGUGGCUGGAGUCGUGCGCUGUGUGGCUGGAGUCAUGCGGUGUGGCUGGAGUCGUGCGCUGUGGCUGGAGUCGUGCGCUGUGCGGGUGGACUCGUGCACUGCGGCUGGAGUCGUGCGCUGUGUGGCUGGAGUCGUGCGCUGUGUGGCUGGAGUCAUACGGUGUGGCUGGAGUCGUGCGCUGUGGCUGGAGUCGUGCGCUGUGUGGCUGGAGUCGUGCGCUGUGCGGGUGGACUCGUGCGCUGUGGCUGGAGUCGUGCGCUGUGGGUGGAGUCGUGCGCUGUGGCUGGAGUCGUGCGCUGUGGCUGGAGUCGUGCGCUGUGGCUUGAGUCGUACGCUGUGUGGCUGGAGUCGUGCGCUGUGCGGGUGGACUCGUGCACUGCGGCUGGAGUCGUGCGCUGUGCGGGUGGACUCGUGCACUGUGGCUGGAGUCGUGCGCUGUGGGUGGAGUCGUGCGCUGUGGGUGGAGUCGUGCGCUGUGCGGGUGGACUCGCGCGCUGUGGCUGGAGUCGUGCGCUGUGGCUGGAGUCGUGCGCUGUGGGUGGAGUCGUGCGCUGUGAGGGUGGAGUCGUGCGCUGUGGGUGGAGUCGUGCGCUGUGGGUGGAGUCGUGCGCUGUGAGGGUGGACUCGUGCACUGUGUGGCUUCGUGUGCCUGGUUUCUUUUACUCAGUGUCAAAAGUUCCUCCAUGUGGCAUGUAUCAAUACUUCAUUCCUUUUUAUGGCCGAAUUAUGUUCCGUUAUAGGGAUAUACUAAAUGUUGUUGUGUAACCAUGGCAGAAUUUUUAAAUCUAGCAAUGAUGACCACUUCCAUAAUAAGGGUGUCAUGGCUGUUCCUAGUGGUGGACCAUUUUGGGGGCUGCACUUCUGUCUUUAUCCUAAGGUUUUUGAGGUAAUUCUUGACUUUGCUCACCCUCCCUUGGGAAGCCUGUCAACUUCAUAAAAAGACUCUAGCUGUAUCUUUCGUCAGCUUACUGUCAGAGACUAUGGGAUCUGCCUUAAUUUAGCUAAAUUUGAUCUUACCAGAGAAUACAACCUUGAAUUUUUUGUUUAGUUCUUUUCAAAAGCUCAGUUUCAGGAAAUAAUGUAGUGAAUAUGUAUUCCAUUUAUUCCUCUAGAAUCUAGAUCCGGGUCGGUAAACUACAGCCCACAGGCUAGCUGUCUGUUUUUGUAAAUUGGGUUUUAUUGGAACACAGCCUACGGCUGUCUGCUUUUCCAACAGACCCACGGGCCUGAGAUGGCAGAGAUGGCUGCUGUCUGAAACUUUAAGAGAGAAAGUUGGCUGAGUGAAGGCUUCUGAUCUUCUUCAUCUGUUCUUAAUCUGAGUUCUACCUUCCCCUUAUGAGGACUUUGCAGAUGGGCUUAAGCCAUCUGUGAAACCCCUGAAAUUUUAUGCAAAGCUGCCUGCACAUGUGAGGUCCAUAUAUGUUUUCCUGGAGGGCGGACCUGUGACUCAUCAGAUUCCAAAAGGGAUCUAAGACUCCCAAAUGCUCAACACUCAUUGUUCUGAGUAGCCAAAAUGUUAAUUGCCUAGCCUCACCUGAAUUAGCAGUUCUCUAAGUGUUUAGUCUCAGGAGUUCGAUGUGGUUUUUGGGUUUGUUUUUUGUUUUCUAACUUUUAGGUUCAGGGGUACAUGUGCAGGUUUGUUAUAAAGGUCAACUGUGUGUCACGGGAGUUGGUGUACAGAUUAUGUCAUCAGCCAGCUACUAAGCACAACAGCCGGUGGGUAGUUUUGGGAUCCUCUCCCUCCUGCCACCCUCGAGCAGGCCCUCGUGUCUGUUGUUCCUUCUUUGUGUCCACGCCUGCUCAGCGUCCAGCUCCCACUUACAAGUGAGAACAUGUGGCAUUUGGUUUUCUGUUCCUGCGCCAGUUCACUUAGGAAAGUGGUCUCCAGCUCUAUCCAUGUUGCUGCAAAGGACAUAAUCUCGGUCCUUUUUAUGGCUAUGUAGUAUGCCAUGGUAUAUAUGUACCACAUUUCCUAUGUGUUUUUAAGAAUGAUUGGAACCCCAGUCAUUCUUAAAUGAGAGCUCUUGUUUAUGUGGGUAAUAGUCAUCAAUAUUUACCAUAUUAGAAAUUAAAAUAGUAUUAAAAUAUUUCUAUAUUUAAUUAGCAAUAAUAAACCCAUUACAUUUUUGCAAAUAUCUUAAUGUCUCAGAUCUCAGAUUCAUUCCUGUGAUACCACAAGUCUUGCAGCCCACGGAUGCCUCUGCUGUGCACUCUGUGAGAAUGAGAUUGAGCAAGGCCAGUGACGGCUUAGGACGCUCGGGAAGGUAGUUCUGUGGAACUCCUGAAAGGCCUCAGGACCCAGGGUCCCAGAUGCACACGGGAGAGUGUGUUUCUGGACGGCGUUAUCUUAAUGCCCCUGCAGAAUCGUCCUCUGGUAUUUUGGCAUCAGCAUGCUUUUUGAUUGCCUGUCUCAAAAAAAAAAAAAAACUUCUGGAAGCUGGCUCUGCUGUACGUGGUUGGCAUUUUGGUGAGGAAUCGGUAUGUGUGAGGGGACAUUGAACUUUGUGAGGAGCCGCGGGAGAUGUUUCCCUCAGGUUUUAGGCCAGAAGGGUCUGUACCACUUCUGAGCUGCUGGUAAGGUUUUAGAUCUUAUGAAAACAGAUUUUCCUAACUAAUCAUGUUUUCUUUGCUGUGGCACGGGGGAAGCUUGGAGCCUGAUUUCCAACUCUUACAUGUGACAGGCACGUCCUUGUACUAAUGGCACCCCUUCCUCAUUCACACCUUGUUAUCCUUCUAUAUACUUUUGUUAAGUUAUAUUAUAAUUCAUUCCAUGUGUUUUUAUAAGUUGUCUCAUCUUUAUUUGAACAAGAUUGAGUAUAAAUCCUUUUGAGUAAAAAAUUUCCUGCUUAUAUUAUUGUGUAAAGCAUUUUUGUAAAACGUUAGCAUCCAGUGGAUUCCAGGGUCUGUUUGGAUUUAGAGAAGUUGGUGAAUCACUUUCUUUUCCAGUGUUGCUUUCAUCAGGUUACUUUAUUUAUUUAUUUAUUUAUUUAUUUAUUUCUUGAGAUUGAGUCUCACCCUGUCGCCCAGGCUAGAGUGCAGUGGCACGAUCUCAACUCACUGCAGUCUCCACCUCAGGUUCAAGUGAUUCUCCUGCCUCAGCCUCCCAAGUAGCUGGGACUAUAGCAUAAGCUUAAAUCGUCUCAGAAGGACAAGG